rnacentral:lncRNA from 1 species
AUGGAUCGGCGAAGCAGCAAGUGGCGAGCAGGAAGCUUUGAUUUCAGGCAGCCUUCCUGGAGAGGGCUCCUUCUGUCGGCAGCUGAGCAGAGAGAGCGGGGCCCACUGAUUAAAGUCCUGUUUGUUUUAAUCUUCCCUUUUGCCCAGGGGAGGCCCACAGAGAGGGAGGGCUCCUACUGGGAGGUGGGACGAUGCCCUCCCCCUGGGGAUAAUUCCUUCCCUUUCUGUGGCUUGAAAAGCAGGCGCCGUGUGCAGCAUCCAGCCGCAGUGCGAGGAGAAUCAGUGAAGGGACGAAGGCCUCGGAACAAGAGAGGCAGCCUCGCUGAACCCGCUGUACUGCACGUACCGUCUCCUGUCCAGCUACUUUCAGCUUAGGAUCAGGACGAGACGACCACUGCCGAGGCUGGAUUGGGCGUUUCUGUACCUUUACUGGCAUGUCUACUCUCCGAGGGGAGAGCAGAUGUGAGACACUGGAGGGACUGAAGAUAAUUGCAAAUGCGUUUUGGUCUGCUUCCUAUCUUGAUGGGUCCAAGUGUAUCAAUCUAAGACCAAAGAAGAAGAGAGAACGCGGCUCUCUUCACUUCACCACGACCGAGGUUCGGGAGCUACGAGGGCAUGCUGAUGUAACUGCAUGAAUCUUAUGAGUGUUGGCCAUUGACCAACUCUGACAAAUUAAAAGGUCACCCUUGAAACACUCUUACAUUGUUCAAGAAUAGUUGUUGGCAAGCAAUGUGGCAUUUCUUGGUUCAUCUUGUUUUGAUCCAAAGACAUUAAAUUGAGGUAUUUGCAGCAACAAGAGGAAUUCCCGGCACAUGAUUCAGUUAUCCAAAUCAUCAAUACCAACUCUCAGGUGUUUGGUUCCAGUCCCGUGAAGUUAAAAAAGAAAGGGCUGCUCCAGAGUAAAACAUGCUGACGCUGGAAGAUGCGUUUUAAGAAAGGGGGGCUCUAAAAGUUGCUCCUCUAUCUAUUUUAUCAGCCAUGACUCCAGAAAUCUAUUCUGGUAAGCUGGUGAAAAUGUCAUUCCUUUGGAAUGUGCAAUUAUGUAAGAUACAAAUAAUAGACACACCCGCUGACUUUCAUAAAGAGCUAAAAAAAUAUAUACAUUUUGGUUAAGUGCCUCCAAAUGUAGUUAUUUGUUUAAUCUCAACCUUUGACAGAUUGGUCACUUUAAACAACCAUUACCAAGUAUAUGUUCAAAGCUGAGAGUUCUAUUAUUUACCAGUUUCUAGAGAAACAAUACUUGAAUAUGAAACACCUUUGGUUCUGUAUGUGAUGAAAUUUGUAAUCCGGACUGUCAAAUGUCCAAUAUUCAAUUUCUCUUAGGCUCUAUUUUGGUCACAAUCAACUCCUGAAACAAAUAUCUGGCUCUUUAGCUGCUUGAAUGAUCACUAUAGUCACUGACUUUGUCUUUGGUGUCAUGAUUUGGCUGUCAUGAUUAUCCAGCUGAAAGAAGAAACCUGCUCUGGAAACAACAACAUUGACCUGUUGACAUCGAUGGUAGUGUACCAAAACAGUACAGACGAUAUGAUGAAAGGCACGAAAGUUUGACUGAUUGUACAGAUAAAAUAUAUUGAUGAGUGCAGCUAUAAACACUUCAACUAUAACUUAAUUUGACACAAAAACACUUGUGGCCCCUAAGAUAUCUCCCAGAUGACUUGGACCAGUUGUGGGGAAAAUGUUGAAAGAGACAAUAAAAAGACGAUGAUAAAAGUGCCGAGAACCAAUACAAGUCAUAUUGUUGCUUUUGGAUUUAAAUCAUAAACAGAUUAUGGAAAAAAUGAUUGAGGGGUUCUAUUUUAUGUUUAGUGUAUUUCUUAAGGGCUUAAGUCAACAACAUUUUCCCAUGAUUUAUUUUUACCAUCUCAACUGUAACAAAUCAAGAUCAACACCUCCUUUGCAGCUGUGACACUGCAUUGCUCUUCCAGUUUUGAAAUUGGCCGGGUCAUGUUUCAAAAAUAUUGUCUGCUCUAGAACAAUAAGGAUAGCAGCCACUUUUUUUCAAAGGGACUGUUCUGGAGCGUUAAGAUCUGGAUAUGCCUGGACAUAAUUACAGCACCUGUAGUUGGUAAAAAAACAUAUGUGUUUUUACACAUACUGUACAUUGUGUAGUAGGAGAGGAAUAAUUUCCUGACAUACAUUAUUGCAUUUAACAUUUUAAUUUUAAUUUUAAAUAUUAGAUCAUUUUUGGCGUGAUUGACUCCUGUCUGUACUUAUGUUUUUUUUUAACGGCAAAAAACAUCUGCUCUCUUUAAAAACCAUCAAGAUGACCAUUGAGAUGCUUGCAUGAAAGUGUGGUUGGAUCAACACACUUAGAAAAAAAGGGAGUGUAUUAGCAGCACCUUCUUUAGCUGCUUGAAGUCAAAGACUAUAAAUGAGUUUUGAUUUCAUCUCAGGGGCCGGACAGCUUCCAGGCUGCCUGUGUGGUCACAGAGAGUUGACCUCACGUACAGUAACAAUAAACACUUUGAAACAGAUUAAAAUGCAUUG